rnacentral:rRNA from 1 species
UACAGAGGUCUCAAGCGUUUGUUCGGAUUCAUUGGGCGUAAAGGGUGCGUAGGUGGCGCCGUAAGUCAGGUGUGAAAUUUCGGAGCUUAACUCCGAAACUGCAUUUGAUACUGCGGUGCUUGAGGACUGGAGAGGAGACUGGAAUUUACGGUGUAGCAGUGAAAUGCGUAGAUAUCUGGAGGAACACCGGUGGCGAAGGCGGCAUCCUGGACCAUUACUGACGCUGAGUGAGCGAAAAGCCAGGGGAGCAAAGCGGG